CAAAAUUCCUCGGGGUGCUUUCUUCGGAAGGCUGAGAUUAUACCCGUAAAACCUGAACAGGGUAAUGCCUGCGAAGGGAAGGCUGCAAAGCAUUUC
rnacentral:ncRNA from 2 species